GGGCGUCUACAUGCUUCACCAUGCCCCCGCCAGCGCAGACCACGCCUUCGCUCGCGAUGCCCUUGCCCUGCUCGCGUCCGCAGCCACGGCCGCCGCGUCAGCCCCGCCUUCCUCCCGCCCAUCCCCUCCGAUCAUCCCGCCUCCCCCCACGUCGCACACAACCCGCCAUCCACUCUCCUGCCCCAUCCCCGCCUCCGUCAUACGCGCAGAGCCCGCCUGAGAUCCGCUGCAACAAAUGAUGUCUCCCCCGUCCAGCUCGAUGCCCCGCCCCCACUAUCUCCGCUCUCUACUGCUCUCUACGCGCCGUCGGCAAAAAUGGCAUGGGAGAUCCGCCACCUCAACUCCCCAUUACCGCGGUCCCAUAUCUCCUCUCCCCAUUACUGUGGUCCAUGGAUUUCUCGAGUCAGUGGGAGGUCCGUCAUCCAUGGAAGGUCCGCCACCUCCUCCUCGGUCCGCAGCAAAAAUGGCGUGGGAGAUCCGCCAGCUCACCUCCUCCCAUUACCGCGCCAGCGCCUGAUAUGGAAGGUACAUUGAGACUGCAAUAGUCACCAAGAAGAGAUACAAUGAUCUAAAGCGGUACUUUAAUUGCACAUGCCCACGUUGUGUAAAGGGGUUCAGGUGCAAGAACCAAACAUGUGAUGGUUUUCUACUGCCCAACUCAGGUUGGUUGCCAAUCAAACGAAAAGUACCCAUUGAGUGGUUGUGGAGAAAUAGUUGAAAGUUGGUGGAUCAACCAAACAUAUAUUACGUCGAAAUUGGAGACUCAUUUUGUUUGAUCAGUUAUUAAUCAUAUAUGUUGUGGUUAUUAAUCUUAUAUGUUGUGUUUAUCUGACACUAUAGGUAAAAGGCUUAUACAUGCCAGAUUUAAAGUUUAAUGGUUGGAGCUCAAUUUGUUUUUAGUGCCACAAACACUUUAAAUGAUAUGGUAUUUUAAUUUCGGGGCACUAUUUUGAGGCCCCUCGUUG